rnacentral:rRNA from 1 species
AACGAACGCUGGCGGCAUGCCUAACACAUGCAAGUCGAACGAGACCUUCGGGUCUAGUGGCGCACGGGUGCGUAACGCGUGGGAAUCUGCCCUUGGGUUCGGAAUAACAGUUGGAAACGACUGCUAAUACCGGAUGAUGACGUAAGUCCAAAGAUUUAUCGCCCAAGGAUGAGCCCGCGUAGGAUUAGCUAGUUGGUGAGGUAAAGGCUCACCAAGGCGACGAUCCUUAGCUGGUCUGAGAGGAUGAUCAGCCACACUGGGACUGAGACACGGCCCAGACUCCUACGGGAGGCAGCAGUGGGGAAUAUUGGACAAUGGGCGAAAGCCUGAUCCAGCAAUGCCGCGUGAGUGAAGAAGGCCUUAGGGUUGUAAAGCUCUUUUACCCGGGAUGAUAAUGACAGUACCGGGAGAAUAAGCUCCGGCUAACUCCGUG